UACGUAGGGUGCGAGCGUUGUCCGGAAUUAUUGGGCGUAAAGAGCUUGUAGGCGGUUUGUCGCGUCUGCCGUGAAAGCCCAGGGCUUAACCCUGGGUCUGCGGUGGGUACGGGCAGACUAGAGUGUGGUAGGGGAGACUGGAAUUCCUGGUGUAGCGGUGAAAUGCGCAGAUAUCAGGAGGAACACCGAUGGCGAAGGCAGAUCUCUGGGCCGUAACUGACGCUGAGGAGCGAAAGCGUGGGGAGCGAACAGG
rnacentral:rRNA from 1 species